rnacentral:rRNA from 1 species
GAUGAACGCUAGCUAUAGGCUUAACACAUGCAAGUCGAGGGGCAGCAUGAAGUCAGCUUGCUGACUUUGAUGGCGACCGGCGCACGGGUGAGUAACGCGUAUCCAACCUUCCCCUUACUCAGGAAUAGCCCGUUGAAAGACGGAUUAAUGCCUGAUGUUCUCUUUUUCCGGCAUCGGUAAUAGAGCAAAGAUUCAUCGGUAAGGGAUGGGGAUGCGUAUGAUUAGCUUGUUGGCGGGGUAACGGCCCACCAAGGCGACGAUCGUUAGGGGUUCUGAGAGGGAACGGUCCCCCACACUGGAACUGAGACACGGUCCAGACUCCUACGGGAGGCAGCAGUGAGGAAUAUUGGUCAAAUGGGUCGGAAGACUGAACCAGCCAAGUAGCGUGAAGGAUGACUGCCCUA